rnacentral:rRNA from 1 species
GUGANUUAACACGNNGGUAACNNNCCNNUANGACUGGGAAUAACUUCNGGGAAACCGGAGNUAAUACCGGAUAGUUCCUUGAACCGCAUGGUUCAAAGGAUGAAAGACGGUUUCGGCUGUCACUUACAGAUGGACCCCGCGGCGCAUUAGCUAGUUGGUGGGGUAAUGGCUCACCAAGGCGACGANGNGUAGCCGACCUGAGAGGGUGAUCGGCCACACUGGGACUGAGACACGGCCCAGACUCCUACGGGAGGCAGCAGUAGGGAAUCUUCCGCAAUGGACGAAAGUCUGACGGAGCAACGCCGCGUGAGUGAUGAAGGUUUUCGGAUCGUAAAGCUCUGUUGUUAGGGAAGAACAAGUGCGAGAGUAACUGCUCGCACCUUGACGGUACCUAACCAGAAAGCCACGGCUAACUACGUGCCAGCAGCCGCGGUAAUACGUAGGUGGCAAGCGUUGUCCGGAAUUAUUGGGCGUAAAGGGCUCGCAGGCGGUUUCUUAAGUCUGAUGUGAAAGCCCCCGGCUCAACCGGGGAGGGUCAUUGGAAACUGGGAAACUUGAGUGCAGAAGAGGAGAGUGGAAUUCCACGUGUAGCGGUGAAAUGCGUAGAGAUGUGGAGGAACACCAGUGGCGAAGGCGACUCUCUGGUCUGUAACUGACGCUGAGGAGCGAAAGCGUGGGGAGCGAACAGGAUUAGAUACCCUGGUAGUCCACGCCGUAAACGANGNGUGCUAAGUGUUAGGGGGUUUCCGCCCCUUAGUGCUGCAGCUAACGCAUAAGCACUCCGCUGGA